ensembl:misc_RNA Metazoa_SRP Metazoan signal recognition particle RNA
AUUGAGUGUGGUGAUACACCUGGAGUCCGGGCCGCUUGGGAGGAUCGCCUGGGCCCAGCAGUUCUCAACUUUCUGUGCUCUGUACCUAUCGGGUGCCCACUCUGAGCUCAGCAUCAAUAUGGUGAUGGGAGUUGCGGUUGGGGGGGAUCACCAGGCUGCCUAAGGAGGGGUGAACCGGCCUGGGUCAGAAGCGGCAGGUCAUAACUCCUGUGCUGAUCAGCAGUGGGAUUGCACCUGUGAAUAGCCACUGAGGGACUGAGAAAAUGGAAAAU